rnacentral:rRNA from 1 species
AACCUACCCUAUAGUUUGGGAUAACUCCGGGAACCGGGACUAAUACCGAAUAAUCUAUUGUCCCUCAUGGGACAAUACUGAAAGACGGUUUCGGCUGUCGCUAUAGGAUGGGCCCGCGGCGCAUUAGCUAGUUGGUGAGGUAACGGCUCACCAAGGCAACGAUGCGUAGCCGACCUGAGAGGGUGAUCGGCCACACUGGGACUGAGACACGGCCCAGACUCCUACCGGGAGGCAGCAGUAGGGAAUCUUCCACAAUGGGCGAAAGCCUGAUGGAGCAACGCCGCGUGAGUGAAGAAGGAUUUCGGUUCGUAAAACUCUGUUGUAAAGGAAGAACAAGUACAGUAGUAACUGGCUGUACCUUGACGGUACCUUAUUAGAAAGCCACGGCUAACUACGUGUCAGCAGCCGCGGUAAUACGUAGGUGGCAAGCGUUGUCCGGAAUUAUUGGGCGUAAAGCGCGCGCAGGUGGUUUCUUAAGUCUGAUGUGAAAGCCCACGGCUCAACCGUGGAGGGUCAUUG